AGAGUUUGAUCUGGCUCAGAGUGAACGCUGGCGGCGUGCUUAACACAUGCAAGUCGAGCGAACUUUAGCAGCACACCGCUAGAGUUAGCGGCAGACGGGUGAGUAACACUUGGGCAAUCUGCCCUCGAGAGGGAGACAACCUGCCGAAAGGCGGGCUAAUAUCCCGUAAAACCACAGGGUCGCAUGAUCCAGGGGUCAAA
rnacentral:rRNA from 1 species